rnacentral:rRNA from 1 species
GAUGAACGCUAGCGGCAGGCUCAACACAUGCAAGUCGAGGGGUAGAGUUAGCUUGCUAACUUGAGACCGGCGCACGGGUGCGUAACGCGUAUGCAAUCUACCUUGUACAGAGGGAUAGCCCAGAGAAAUUUGGAUUAAUACCUCAUAGUAUCUUCGGAAGGCACCUUCUGAUUAUUAAAGUUCCAACGGUACAAGAUGAGCAUGCGUCCCAUUAGCUAGAUGGUAAGGUAACGGCUUACCAUGGCAACGAUGGGUAGGGGUCCUGAGAGGGAGAUCCCCCACACUGGUACUGAGACACGGACCAGACUCCUACGGGAGGCAGCAGUGAGGAAUAUUGGUCAAUGGGCGCAAGCCUGAACCAGCCAUGCCGCGUGCAGGAAGACGGUCCUAUGGAUUGUAAACUGCUUUUAUACGGGAAGAAACACUGCUACGUGUAGCAGCUUGACGGUACCGUAAGAAUAAGCAUCGGCUAACUCCGUGCCAGCAGCCGCGGUAAUAC